AGAGUUUGAUCCUGGCUCAGGAUGAACGCUGGCGGCGUGCCUAAUACAUGCAAGUCGAACGCGAGACGAGGGAGCUUGCUCCCUCCGAUCGAGUGGCGGACGGGUGAGUAACACGUAGGCAACCUGCCCAUCAGCCGGGGAUAACUGCGGGAAACCGUGGCUAAUACCGGAUAAACCUUUCCUCCGCAGGGAGGGGAGUUGAAAGACGGUUUCGGCUGUCGCUGAUGGAUGGGCCUGCGGCGCAUUAGCUGGUUGGUGGGGUAACGGCCCACCAAGGCGACGAUGCGUAGCCGACCUGAGAGGGUGAUCGGCCACACUGGGACUGAGACACGGCCCAGACUCCUACGGGAGGCAGCAGUAGGGAAUCUUCCGCAAUGGACGCAAGUCUGACGGAGCAACGCCGCGUGAGUGAAGAAGGGUUUCGGCUCGUAAAACUCUGUUGUUAAGGAGGAAUGACAGGUAGAGUAACUGCUACCUGUGUGACGGUACUUAACCAGAAAGCCACGGCUAACUACGUGCCAGCAGCCGCGGUAAUACGUAGGUGGCAAGCGUUAUCCGGAAUUAUUGGGCGUAAAGCGCGCGUAGGCGGUCUUUUAAGUCUGAUGUGAAAGCCCCCGGCUCAACCGGGGAGGGUCAUUGGAAACUGGGAGACUUGAGUGCAGAAGAGGAGAGUGGAAUUCCAUGUGUAGCGGUGAAAUGCGCAGAGAUAUGGAGGAACACCAGUGGCGAA
rnacentral:rRNA from 1 species